AACCAUAGAAACCUGCGGAGUACCUGCGGAGGGAUCAUUACCGAGUUUACAACUCCCAAACCCCUGUGAACAUACCAAUUGUUGCCUCGGCGGAUCAGCCCGCUCCCGGUAAAACGGGACGGCCCGCCAGAGGACCCCUAAACUCUGUUUCUAUAUGUAACUUCUGAGUAAAACCAUAAAUAAAUCAAAACUUUUAACAACGGAUCU
rnacentral:misc_RNA from 1 species